GCGGGGCCGGCCCGACCAGCACCCGGCUGCCUCUUCAAAGCCAGAAACAAAAGAGAGAUUUCCUGGGCUUGCCGGUCUUUAAAACACCUCAAAAAUCUACAAGAUCUUACACAAAUCUUCAGUGGUGAACAACACGGUGGUCUGUUUCCUAGCCUUUGGCACAUAAAUGUUUUAUUCUCUUUCAA